AAAAUAAUAAACUUCAAAAUAAAUAAAUAAAUAAAAUUUAAUUUUAAAUUUUAAAUAUAAUAAAAUAAUAAAAAUUAUAACCAUAACAAAAUAUUAAUACCAAUUAAUAUAUAAACAAUCUUAUUCUAAAUAUAGAUCUACCAUUUAAAUAAAAUUAAAAAAUAAAAAAAAUAUUUCAAUAAUAUAUUUAUGACAACAAUAAAUAAAAAUUGAUUGCCCAAUUUUUAAAGUGCAAAUUCAUUCAAUACAAAUUAAUCUAAUUUAAAUUUACCGCCAAAUUAAAUAAUUUUAAUUAAAACUAAUCCUCAAUCUGUACAAAAAAUAUUUGGUUUAUAUAAACAGGGUAUCUAAUCCUAAUUUAAUUAAAACUAAAAUUAUUUAAUAUUAACUCUAAAAAAUUAAAUUAACAUUUCACCGCAAAUAAAUAAAAAUAAAAAUAAACUUAAAAUAAAUAUUAAAACACAAAAUCUAAACCUUAACUUUUAUUUAAAUUGU
rnacentral:rRNA from 1 species